rnacentral:misc_RNA from 1 species
AUCUUAGGCAUAAAGAGAACUUUGACCAAGGAAGAGAAGUCAUGUACAGUAUAUUAAAAUUGCUGGCAAGACUUAUAAUAAAUGGCGACAGGAGGAAGGGGUGCGUUGUCUCUUCUUCAAAGUUACGGCUCAGAUAGCGAUGGAGACUCUGGUUACACUAGUGAAGACGAGAAAAAGAGAAAACACGUAUUUAGCAGCCCUCUUGAACGAAAGAGGAAGAGGCGAAGAGCAGAUGACGAGGAGGAAAUGGCGGUGGACACUCCUUCCUCGUCGUCACGUCCUGGAUACCACCAGGAUUCUGUAGUUUCUUCGGAGACUGUGAUGGGGGACGGGCACCAACGGCCAAGUGACCACACCAUGGAUACUACCUCACACCAGUUAAAUAGUAAUCGAAGUAUACCUCUACCCAGUGAACUAUUAUUGACUAGAGAAAUUCAUGUGGAUGACUCGAGGGAACAUCAGGGAAGAGUCAGAUCCUUUCCUCAUGAACGGGGUAACUGGGCAUCAAUUUUAUACGUCCCGUUGCAUCUAGGAGUGUAUGGGGCAAGUUUUGCUUCCUUCAUGGCUUCGUUGGUUGCUAUGUGCCAGGAACAAAAUGUGAUACUUACCCCCUCGUCAGAUCUUCACAUUUCACUAACACGAACUCUCAUACUUCAACUCCAUUGGAUUCAGCCAUUAACAGAAGACCUCAGAGCUAGACUUAGCCAAGUAUCCAAAUUUUCCUUGUGGUUACAUGGCUUAAGUGUGUAUGCCAAUGAUGAGCGAACCCGAACCUUUUUGGGGCUGCGAGUUUGUCAUGGCCGCAAUGAAUUAGAGGAUAUAGUCUCUGAAGUGGACAAGUGUCUAGCUGAGUAUAGACUGCCACUUUUCUAUAAGGAUGGCUCUUAUCAUGUGAGUGUCGCUUGGUGCACUGGCGAUGUUUCUGAAAAUCUUCGUCGCCUCUUGCCGCAGCUGGAAAACAUCUGCAGUCAGUACUUCUCAGUGGAAACUGAUAUGCGUACUUUUGAUGUUAACUUGUUGAAUUUUAAGACUGGUAACAGAAUUCAUAACAUACACCUUAAACACGAAAAUUAGUAUCCAUUUUAUAGAAUUUGAGUAGUUUCUAUCUUCUCCAUUAAUAAGUAUGUACAAAUAAUAAAUUAACACAUUUCUUUAUACUGUUCAACUUGUAUUCCUAUUUUUUCUGGUGCAGUUAGUAAUGUGUAUUUAUUAAUCUUGGAGUUUUAAGGACCAAGUAUGGAUUUUUCUUCCGAGUUGACUGUUGGAUGAUAGAGUAAUGAUAUAAUUAUGAACAAAUAUGAGUGUGCCCUACCAAAGUGUGAUUCAUCAGGGAAUACCUGGAUCUACCUUAACUGUGUUAGUGGUAUGUGUGACCAAGAAAAGUAAUGUGAUGGUGAUUCUGCAUCUUUGUUCCUACUGUAAAAAGGUUAACAUUGUGGAGAUACAUGGUUGCAGGACAAAUAGGUUCCAGUCCUCAUAGGCCCCCAAUUGUACCUGAUCAUUAGGAUUGAGGUCCAUUAUGACUGGACUCCAUUCUUAAUGGUUAGAUAAGGUGAAUGACAAGUAGGACUCGAGUCCAUUUAACCAGUCACCUUGGUGCAUUAGGAUUGUCCAGGUUUCUAAAGUUUCUGUAAGCCUUUAGGAAGUUAAACACUAAAAAAGUGCAUCUGACAUAAGUUGUAGGUGGAAAGGGAAUAUUUUGUCAAUAGUUUGAAAAGAAAGUAUGAAAUAAAACUGUAAAUUACACUUAAAUGGUAAUAAGAAAGCAAUUCUCAUGUGAUGUUGUGGCUCACAACCAUUGGCUGACCACAUAUGAUCUGAUUAGUACUGCAGAAUAAGCAAAAUAUGGGAAAACAAAUAUAGGAAAGAGUGAUACUCUUAUUUUUGGAUCUGUGAUCACUAAUUUGUUGCCUCGGCUACAUGAUAAACCUGUGUAAACAGUCUUGAAAUUCCUCAACAGUAUUCAUGUUGUUGCUCUCAAGUUGGCAGUACCUUUGACCUGUGCUCCUACAUUGUCUUAAUGUACUGACUGUGUGUUACUCAUUAAAAUUAAGAGUGUAUGGAAGCUGCAGGAAGUAGAAUUACUUAAGUAUGGCUUUCAUUAUUAAGUUUUAUUUAUAAACUUAAUUGUUCAAGCAAUAGUGGACAUCUGUUCAUUAUUUCUUAACAUAGCACAAUCAUAAUGUGCUGUACCAUGAAUUUGGAAUGGAAUAUCUUUUUUUGGUAUUUUUUUUUGGCUUGAGGAGUAGACAAUAUAGUAAUUUUCCCGAUGGUCACAUCAUAAGUCACUGGAUACUUGAGGAGCAUGGGACUAUUUACUCGCCUUCGUUAUAUUAGGGAGACCACCCAACGGAUUUUAAGAUUUGCUCUAUAAGUUAUUACAUGAGCAUCAUUUAUCAUAAGUGGAAUGCUAAUAAUAAUUUGCCUCCAACAGUACAGUAAAACCUCGAUUUAACGGACCUCGACUUAACAGAUUUCGGAUUUAAUGGACCAAAUUGUCUGGAAGCAUUUGCUGUUAGCUCUGACUCAAAAUAAAAGUAUUGAGUCACUACUAUCAAUCACUGGCAAAUUAAUUUCCUCUAUCAACCACAAAUGGUUUACUUUACGAGAACCUCCAACUGAGCCCUUUGUAAGAGUACAGUACCGGUAAUCAUUCAAAAUUAGGACCCAUAUAAUGGAAGAAUACAGCUGCAUUCAACUGUUUUCACCAUGAAUAUCCCUUUAAUACUUUAUUGCAAUCUUGGAAAACAUAUUACUCUAUACUGUACUGUAUAAAAGUAAUUUUAGACUCAUGAUUAAAAAAAAAACCACCGGAUAUGUGUAUGAAAGACAAGUCUCCAUUAAGGAUUAUCUAAAAAUGUGUCACGGUAGUACAGCACUGUGUGUUCACUGCAGUACUGUACAGUAUAGCAAGGCAAGCAUGGAAAAUGGUGAUGGUAAUUUUAAGUGCAGUAUAAAGAUACUACAGUACAGUACAGUGGUCCCUCGGUUAACGAGCACAAUCCGUUCUAGAAGGUUGCUCGUUACCC